rfam:Acidobacterium capsulatum ATCC 51196, complete genome.
AAGAGCCGUAUGCGGGAAAUCCGCCCGUACGGAUCUGUGCGGGGGGUACGGCGUAAGCCGUAUCCCUACCGCGAC